rnacentral:rRNA from 1 species
CCUACGGGUGGCUGCAGUGGGGAAUAUUGGACAAUGGGGGCAACCCUGAUCCAGCCAUGCCGCGUGUGUGAAGAAGGCCCUCGGGUUGUAAAGCACUUUCAGUGAGGAAGAACGCCUGGUGGUUAAUACCCAUCAGGAAAGACAUCACUCACAGAAGAAGCACCGGCUAACUCCGUGCCAGCAGCCGCGGUAAUACGGAGGGUGCGGGCGUUAAUCGGAAUUACUGGGCGUAAAGCGCGCGUAGGUGGCUUGAUAAGCCGGUUGUGAAAGCCCCGGGCUCAACCUGGGAACGGCAUCCGGAACUGUCAAGCUAGAGUGCAGGAGAGGAAGGUAGAAUUCCCGGUGUAGCGGUGAAAUGCGUAGAGAUCGGGAGGAAUACCAGUGGCGAAGGCGGCCUUCUGGACUGACACUGACACUGAGGUGCGAAAGCGUGGGUAGCAAACAGGAUUAGAUACCCUAGUAGUC